GACGAACGCUGGCGGCGUGCUUAACACAUGCAAGUCGAACGGAAAGGCCCUGCUUGCAGGGUACUCGCGUGGCGAACGGGUGAGUAACACGUGGGUGAUCUGCCCUGCACUUCGGGAUAAGCUUGGGAAACUGGGUCUAAUACCGGAUAGGACCGCACUUUAACGUGUGUGGUGGAAAGUUUUUUCGGUGUAGGAUGAGCUCGCGGCCUAUCAGCUUGUUGGUGGGGUAAUGGCCUACCAAGGCGGCGACGGGUAGCCGGCCUGCGGGGGUGUACGGACACAUUGGACCUGUGAGAGGGCCCAGACUCCGGCGUGAGGCAGCAGUGGGGAAUAUUGGACAAUGGGCGCAAGCCUGAGGCAGCGACGCCGCGUGGGGGAUGAAGGCCUUCGGGUUGUAAGCUCCUUUCGCUAGGGACGAAGCUUUGUUGUGACGGUACCUAGACAAGAAGCACCGGCUAACUACGUG
rnacentral:rRNA from 1 species